rnacentral:rRNA from 1 species
GACGAACGCUGGUGGCGUGCCUAAUACAUGCAAGUUGAGCGCUGAAGGUUGGUACUUGUACCAACUGGAUGAGCAGCGAACGGGUGAGUAACGCGUGGGGAAUCUGCCUUUGAGCGGGGGACAACAUUUGGAAACGAAUGCUAAUACCGCAUAAAAACUUUAAACACAAGUUUUAAGUUUGAAAGAUGCAAUUGCAUCACUCAAAGAUGAUCCCGCGUUGUAUUAGCUAGUUGGUGAGGUAAAGGCUCACCAAGGCGAUGAUACAUAGCCGACCUGAGAGGGUGGUCGGCCACAUUGGGACUGAGACACGGCCCAAACUCCUACGGGAGGCAGCAGUAGGGAAUCUUCGGCAAUGGACGAAAGUCUGACCGAGCAACGCCGCGUGAGUGAAGAAGGUUUUCGGAUCGUAAAACUCUGUUGGUAGAGAAGAACGUUGGUGAGAGUGGAAAGCUCAUCAAGUGACGGUAACUACCCAGAAAGGGACGGCUAACUACGUG